UACGUAGGAUGCAAGCGUUAUCCGGAAUUACUGGGCGUAAAGCGUCUGUAGGUGGUUUGUUAAGUUGAAUGUUAAAUCUAUAGGCUCAACUUGUAGACUGCAUUCAAUACUGGCAGACUUGAGGAAGGAAGAGGUAAGCGGAAUUACCGGUGGAGCGGUGAAAUGCGUAGAUAUCGGUAGGAACACCAAUGGCGAAGGCAGCUUACUGGGCCUCUCCUGACACUGAGAGACGAAAGCGUGGGGAG
rnacentral:rRNA from 1 species